CAGCAGCCGCGGGAAUACGUAGGUGGCAAGCGUUGUCCGGAAUUAUUGGGCGUAAAGGGCUCGCAGGCGGUUUCUUAAGUCUGAUGUGAAAGCCCCCGGCUCAACCGGGGAGGAUCAUUGGAAACUGGGAAACUUGAGUGCAGAAGAGGAGAGUGGAAUUCCGCGUGUAGCGGUGAAAUGCGUAGAGAUGUGGAGGAACACCAGUGGCGAAGGCGACUCUCUUGUCUGUAACUGACGCUGAGGAGCGAAAGCGUGGGGAGCGAACAGGAUUAGAUACCCCAGUAGUCCCUGUCUCUUAUAA
rnacentral:rRNA from 1 species